UACGACUACAUAUCAGGCAUAUCAAUAAGCGGAGGAAAAGAAACUAACUAGGAUUCCCUCAGUAACGGCGAGUGAAGCGGGAAGAGCUCAAAUUUGAAAUCUUCAGGGUUUUACCUUGACGAAUUGUAGUUUAAAGAAGUGUUUUCUGUUGGAGUUUUGGUAAAAGUUCUUUGGAAUAGGACAUCAUAGAGGGUGAGAAUCCCGUAUUUGACCAUUAUUUCCAGCUUUGUGAUACACUUUCAAAGAGUCGGAUUGUUUGGGAAUGCAGUCCAAAAUGGGUGGUAAAUUUCAUCUAAAGCUAAAUAUCGGCGAGAGACCGAUAGCGAACAAGUACCGUGAGGGAAAGAUGAAAAGAACUUUGAAAAGAGAGUUAAACAGUACGUGAAAUUGUCAAAAGGGAAGCGUUUGACACCAGUGUUGUUUCUACGAAAAUCAAUUUAUGAUGGCUUGAUGCUAAGCUUUAAGACUUUAUCCGCUUGUUGUUUAGUUUUCUUGUCUUUGUGAAUGCACUUUUCGUUGAACAAGUCAACAUCAAUUUCUUUUGCUGUAAAAGGGUAAGAGGAAGGUGGCUUCGGCUUCGGUUGAAGUGUUUAUAGCCUUUUAUCUCUGCAGUCGGAGAGAUUGAGGUCUGCAGCGUAGACUCUUCGGGGUUAGAUACGUCGGUGCUAAGCUAUAGCUUUUCAUAGACAACUUGUUGACUAUGUUUAGUCAUGUGGCUUACCCGCUGGCGCUAUUUUACCUACGCUUAGGAUGUUGACACACGCGCGUGCUCG
rnacentral:rRNA from 1 species